GACGAACGCUGGCGGCAUGCCUAACACAUGCAAGUCGAACGAGAUCUUCGGAUCUAGUGGCGCACGGGUGCGUAACACGUGGGAAUCUGCCCUUUGGUUCGGAAUAACUCAGGGAAACUUGAGCUAAUACCGGAUGAUGACGUAAGUCCAAAGAUUUAUCGCCAAAGGAUGAGCCCGCGUAGGAUUAGCUAGUUGGUGAGGUGAAGGCUCACCAAGGCUACGAUCCUUAGCUGGUCUGAGAGGAUGAUCAGCCACACUGGGACUGAGACACGGCCCAGACUCCUACGGGAGGCAGCAGUGGGGAAUAUUGGACAAUGGGGGAAACCCUGAUCCAGCAAUGCCGCGUGAGCGAUGAAGGCCUUAGGGUUGUAAAGCUCUUUUACCCGGGAUGAUAAUGACAGUACCGGGAGAAUAAGCCCCGGCUAACUCCGUGCCAGCAGCCGCGGUAA
rnacentral:rRNA from 1 species